UACGAAGGGGGCGAGCGUUGUUCGGAGUUACUGGGCGUAAAGGGCGCGUAGGCGGCGCUCCAAGUUAGGCGUGAAAGCCCCGGGCUCAACCUGGGAAUUGCGCUUAAGACUGGAGUGCUCGAGUGCGGAAGAGGUGAGUGGAAUUCCCAGUGUAGAGGUGAAAUUCGUAGAUAUUGGGAAGAACACCAGUGGCGAAGGCGGCUCACUGGUCCGCAACUGACGCUGAGGCGCGAAAGCGUGGGGAGCGAAC
rnacentral:rRNA from 1 species